UACGGAGGAUGCAAGCGUUAUCCGGAAUCAUUGGGCGUAAAGCGUCCGCAGGUGGCAGUUCAAGUCUGCUGUCAAAGACUGGGGCUUAACCCUAGAAAGGCAGUGGAAACUGAACAGCUAGAGUGCGGUAGGGGUAGAGGGAAUUCCCGGUGUAGCGGUGAAAUGCGUAGAGAUCGGGAAGAACACCAGUGGCGAAAGCGCUCUGCUGGACCUGCACUGACACUGAGGGACGAAAGCUAGGGAAGCGAAUGGG
rnacentral:rRNA from 1 species